UACGUAGGGUGCGAGCGUUGCCCGGAUUUAUUGGGCGUAAAGGGCGCGUAGGCGGUCACGCACGUCCGUUGUGAAAUCGCUCGGCUCAACUGGGCGGGGUCAGCGGAUACGGCGUGGCUGGAGCAAGCUAGGGGGCAAUGGAAUUCCCGGUGUAGUGGUGGAAUGCGUAGAUAUCGGGAGGAACACCAGUGGCGAAGGCGGUUGCCUGGAGCUUUGCUGACGCUGAUGCGCGAAAGCGUGGGUAGCAAACAGG
rnacentral:rRNA from 1 species